AACGACAUAAUUGCACUAUAACAGAAAGCAGACAAAAAUAAGAUUAGAGAUUUUGGGUCAGCAGCCAAGUAGGUGAGUGCAUUAAGGGAUAUGAAAGCAAAACCAGACACUCACCAUAUCCCAAAGAAAGUUGGCCAGCCAAUAGAGGUAUGGCUGAACUCCGCUGAUAAACUGCAUAUGCUUGGCCUUAUUCACUCGUUCCUGAAUAAGAAAGACAACAAAGCUGGCGGGAACGAAGGACAUGGCGAAGAUCACACAAAUGGAAACCAGCACGUCCACUGAGGUGGUCAUCCUGUAAUGGCAUAAAUCAGAGUUGAGAGAUUAGAAAAACAUGAUCGUCCUUAAGAAAUGUUAUUAAAUGUAAUCAAUGUUUCAAUGCUUACAGGGCCACUUGAGAAAGCUGUUCUUUGGUCAGAUUGAGGGGAUGGUUGAACGCAGUGAUGCCAAACUGACGGGGGUCUUUGCCAGGUGGGAUUAAGAGCCAGGCUGGGAUAUUUUCCAAAUGGUGGUACAAUAAGACUGAAUACAAGAGCGAUGCACACAAACACAGCGGGAAGAACAAUCUGCAAAGAGAAUCAAAGUGUGAUAAAGGCACUUGCAUGCUGAAGAGGACGUUGUGUUGUGGACACACUCCGAGGCUCCGCCUGAUAGAACUCAGCUCUGAGCGGAUGUCUUUGCCCAUGAUAUACGCAGUGCCAGAGGUGGGAGGGAAAAGCCCAGUUAGGAUAGACCUAAAAACAUUGAAGAAUGUGAACUUACAUGGUGGUAGUUUUUCCAGCUCCAUUGUGACCUAGAAAGGAGGUUAUCUGCCCCUCAUAGAAGCCAAGUGUCAAGCCAUCGACCGCUAGCUUUUUUCCGUGACGGUAGACCUUCACAAGAUUCUCAAUGUAAACUCCCAGUUCAAGUAAGAUUUAGUGAAGGGGAAGUACCACGGCCUGGGAAUGCCAUACUGCCCUGGGAACACGGUCUCAAUGUACCAGGUCAUGACCCCAUAC